CGUAUGGUUGAUUCUAGC
rnacentral:siRNA from 1 species